AGCCUGAACGCUGGCGGCGUGGCUAAGACAUGCAAGUCGCACGGGGUAGCAAUACCCAGUGGCGAACGGGAGAGUAAUGAAUCGCUAACGUACCCCGGACUCUGGGAUAGCUAUCCGAAAGGGUAGGUAAUACCAGAUGACAUCACUUCCAGGCAUCUGAGGUGCUCAAAGGUCCGCC
rnacentral:rRNA from 1 species